UUUUUUUUUUCGUUUUUUUUUUUAACUUAUUUUUUUAAUUACUCAAUGAAUUUAUUGCAUUUAUAGUUGUCCAGUGAUUAUCACCAUCCAAUUUUGUAGGAUUUCCAUCCCACAACCCCAGCGCAUUCCCCCCGGCAACUGUCUUCCUUUGACAAGGUGUCAUUUUCAAAUGGCUCGUGGCUGAAUGCUGACAACAAGGGCUCAGGAAUAUCCGGGGAGAAUUGCGUGGGAAUCAGGUAGGGAGACAGGUGAGAGGCAAAUUAAAAUCCUUAUAGCUCGUCUUCAACUUGGAGCCAGUUAAUACGCUGUGGCAGAGAUGGCAGAUUUUAUGGUUACGAAAUACCCACAAAACAGCAGGGGGUGGGGCUUUGACAGGAUCUGGCAUAAUGACCAAGUUAUUAAACAUCAAGCAGGAACUGGCUCCCCCGCUCACUGCCCCACCUGAGAUUUCUCCAGGGAAAAAGCCUAACUGCAGGCAAAAACAAGAUCCUCCCCUCAAAGCAAAUCCAGCCCUAAGAGUGGCAGGUCCCAUGAUGAAGACUGACUCUGGAUGCCCUCAACCUUAUGAUUCGCCACGUGAACUGCCGAGCCAGGAAACACCAUAUGGGAGACGCGUGACUAAUGAAGAAACCCAGUCCCCAGGGACAUGCUGUUGGAGGGAACCAGCCACCAAGUUUGCCCCAACGUGAAAGUUCUAGCCUGGCAUGGUUCCGGCUGACGCCAUCCAUGAUUAGAACCUAAAAGAAGACAUGAGCUGUGGGGAAAGGGGCUCCCGCCUUUCCCCUGGGCUAAAGGGGGUCUGGUGCUCUUCUGAAAGCAGGAUUCUAAGAGAUGCUAACAAAGGCCUCAAAGCCAGAAGCUGAGCACAGGGUCAUUGGCACAGUGCCUGCUUCAGCUUGACCCAAAGACUUUCCAAGCCCAGCCAUGCUUUCAUAGGCAUCGGAAGAGGUUUCUCUAUGUCGACCCGGUUCUGGGAGUCCAGACAAUUGUAGAAUACAAACCAGAUGGGGAAAAGUGGUCGUUUCUAUAGUUCCAUGUCUAUAUACGCCACUUGGAAAAGAGCCAGUUUGUUAAAAACAAAAAAACUUUAGUUUUGCUAAAAGGCUCUAAACAGAGACUGCUGCUGAGCAGGGUCAGAAUUAACUCAAUGUUUGGGUUGAUUCUUUGGUUGGCACCUACUUGUUUCAUGAUAUAUGAGAAUCCAGAUGAUAAAUAAGCAUAAAUCUAAUUGUUAGUAUUAUUUUUUUUUUUCCUUUUUAGGGCUGCACCUAUGGCAUAUGGAAUUUCCCAGGCUAGGGGUCCAAUCAGAGCUGC
rnacentral:lncRNA from 1 species